UGAAGGUAGAAAGUGUGUGUGAGCUGAUGUGGAUGUGAAUUCUUUGGGUGAAUUCUGAGCUUUUUGUGGAUACCAUACAUGUCCAUGUUUGCAUAAAAGACCUGACAGUUGGAGGGUUAAACUGCAGUUCACCCCCUUUGCCCCUGCUACUGGGGGCGCUGGGGCUCAAGAGAUCAAAGAUGGAAAAAUCUGUUGAGGAGCAGUUGCUGAACAUGCUGGAAGAUUUGGGAGAAGAGGAGCUGAAACUUUUCCACUGGUACCUGGAGAAAGCACCCGGAGGUGAUUUCACAACCAUCAAAAAGAGCCGACUGGAGAACGCAAGGAAGGAUGGACGUCAUGAAACCGUGAAUCUUAUGGUGGAGACAUACACUACUCACCAUGUAAUGGAGGUGGCGGAGUUGAUUUUAAAGAAGAUGAAUGAAGGGAAACCCUCAGGCCAGGCAUCUUCAUCCUUUUUAUCACAAGGUAAUAAUUCCUUAGUUUGUCUCAGGAGCCAUUGCUAAAGUAGAAACACA